AGAGUUUGAUCCUGGCUCAGGACGAACGCUGGCGGCGUGCCUAACACAUGCAAGUCGAACGGGGAGUUAGCAAUAACUCCUAGUGGCGAACGGGUGAGUAACGCGUAGACAACCUACCUUCUAGAUGGGGACAACACCGCGAAAGUGGUGCUAAUACCGAAUGUGGUGACUAGUGUGCAUACACCGGUCAAAAAAGGUGGCCUCUAUUUAUAAGCUACCGCUAGAAGAUGGGUCUGCGUCUGAUUAGCUAGUUGGCGGGGUAACGGCCCACCAAGGCGACGAUCAGUAGCCGGUCUGAGAGGAUGAACGGCCACACUGGGACUGAGACACGGCCCAGACUCCUACGGGAGGCAGCAGUGGGGAAUCUUCCGCAAUGGACGAAAGUCUGACGGAGCAACGCCGCGUGAGUGACGAAGGCCUUCGGGUUGUAAAGCUCUGUUAUCGGGGAAGAA
rnacentral:rRNA from 1 species